UAUGACUUUGAAAUCUGCCAUGAGGAAUCCAAAUUAGUAAGACGUGCUGGAAGAUUUCACAGCUGGAGUCCUUUGCAGGAAAUGCUUUCUCUGAAUUGUGCUCAGGGAAUGGACUUUCAGACAAACUAAGCUGGAAAGAGACAUUGAUUUAAUUUGGUGAGGGAUGUGCUGUCUGUCUGAUGCCUUGUUUUCUGCUUGCUCGUGUCUUGCCAACAAUUAUCUUGUCAAGAGGUAAUGUAGGCAACAGAGAAGCAGUUACAAAACUUCUGAUAAAGUAUGCUAGUGCUGCACUGGAAGCCGGAGGAGUUGUGGAGCAGUCUGAAAUCUUCUGCAGAAUUUAAUUCCUAUAUAUUUCCCAAUGUGGAGAGCAAAACCCUCCUGGAAGACUGUGAGCUCUGAUUGCAUGCAGAUGAUGUGCUGUAGGAGAGAAUCGAUAUUGUCAGAGACAUCUACAGAACAUAUGCAGAAAUUCUUCAGCACGACUGCAGCUGGCAGA